CACAUGGUCACUGAUCGGACACCUAUUAUUGUUAGGGUAAAUUUCCCUUACGCCACAUGGUCACUGAUCGGACACCUAUUAUUGUUAGGGUAAAUUUCCCUUACGCCACAUGGUCACUGAUCGGACACCUAUUAUUGUUAGGGUAAAUUUCCCUUACGCCACAUGGUCACUGAUCGGACACCUAUUA